rnacentral:rRNA from 1 species
UGCAAGUAGAACGCUGAAGAGAGGAGCUUGCUCUUCUUGGAUGAGUUGCGAACGGGUGAGUAACGCGUAGGUAACCUGCCUUGUAGCGGGGGAUAACUAUUGGAAACGAUAGCUAAUACCGCAUAACAAUGGAUGACACAUGUCAUUUAUUUGAAAGGGGCAAUUGCUCCACUACAAGAUGGACCUGCGUUGUAUUAGCUAGUAGGUGAGGUAAUGGCUCACCUAGGCGACGAUACAUAGCCGACCUGAGAGGGUGAUCGGCCACACUGGGACUGAGACACGGCCCAGACUCCUACGGGAGGCAGCAGUAGGGAAUCUUCGGCAAUGGGGGCAACCCUGACCGAGCAACGCCGCGUGAGUGAAGAAGGUUUUCGGAUCGUAAAGCUCUGUUGUAAGUCAAGAACGGGUGUGAGAGUGGAAAGUUCACACUGUGACGGUAGCUUACCAGAAAGGGACGGCUAACUACGUGCCAGCAGCCGCGGUAAUACGUAGGUCCCGAGCGUUGUCCGGAUUUAUUGGGCGUAAAGCGAGCGCAGGCGGUUUGAUAAGUCUGAAGUUAAAGGCUGUGGCUCAACCAUAGUUCGCUUUGGAAACUGUCAAACUUGAGUGCAGAAGGGGAGAGUGGAAUUCCAUGUGUAGCGGUGAAAUGCGUAGAUAUAUGGAGGAACACCGGUGGCGAAAGCGGCUCUCUGGUCUGUAACUGACGCUGAGGCUCGAAAGCGUGGGGAGCGAACAGGAUUAGAUACCCUGGUAGUCCACGCCGUAAACGAUGAGUGCUAGGUGUUGGAUCCUUUCCGGGAUUCAGUGCCGCAGCUAACGCAUUAAGCACUCCGCCUGGGGAGUACGACCGCAAGGUUGAAACUCAAAGGAAUUGACGGGGGCCCGCACAAGCGGUGGAGCAUGUGGUUUAAUUCGAAGCAACGCGAAGAACCUUACCAGGUCUUGACAUCCCGAUGCUAUUUCUAGAGAUAGAAAGUUACUUCGGUACAUCGGUGACAGGUGGUGCAUGGUUGUCGUCAGCUCGUGUCGUGAGAUGUUGGGUUAAGUCCCGCAACGAGCGCAACCCUUAUUGUUAGUUGCCAUCAUUCAGUUGGGCACUCUAGCGAGACUGCCGGUAAUAAACCGGAGGAAGGUGGGGAUGACGUCAAAUCAUCAUGCCCCUUAUGACCUGGGCUACACACGUGCUACAAUGGUUGGUACAACGAGUUGCGAGUCGGUGACGGCGAGCUAAUCUCUUAAAGCCAAUCUCAGUUCGGAUUGUAGGCUGCAACUCGCCUACAUGAAGUCGGAAUCGCUAGUAAUCGCGGAUCAGCACGCCGCGGUGAAUACGUUCCCGGGCCUUGUACACACCGCCCGUCACACCACGAGAGUUUGUAACACCCGAAGUCGGUGAGGUAACCUUUUGGAGCCAGCCGCCUAAGGUGGGACAGAUGAUUG